GGCUAUUUUUGAUGGCUGUACAUUGUGUCCAGAUCCUGUGCCAUAUAGAUGCGUAGAACACUGAUUUUCAUUUCCUUUUCAUCAUUUGUCCAAAUUUAAAACGUUUUUUUUCCCAUCUCUGAAUCAUCAGUAUUGUAGCAGUCAUUUUUAUGUUUUUUUAAUUUCCCCUCCCUUCAUGUCUCCUGCCCCCUGUGUACGGUAUAACACAGGUGGAGCAGCUCCCUUCCCAGUCAACUGGCAGCCAAGCCACAUGCAGUACUUGUAGUUCAGCUCAGGUGUGCUGGGCCUGAGGUACCGUCAGGAGGCAGCCAGAGAGCCCUUGCUCAGAUGUGCUCCAGUGUGCUGAGAGGACCAGUGUGCUGAGAGGAUCAGUGUGCUGAGAGGACCAGUGUGCUGAGAGGACCAGUGUGCUGAGAGGUCCCGUGUGCUGAGAGGUCCCGUGUGCUGAGAGGUCCCGUGUGCUGAGAGGUCCCGUGUGCUGAGAGGACCAGUGUGCUGAGAGGACCAGUGUGCUGAGAGGUCCCGUGUGCUGAGAGGACCAGUGUGCUGAGAGGACCAGUGUGCUGAGAGGACCAGUGUGCUGAGAGGACCAGUGUGCUGAGAGGACCAGUGUGCUGAGAGGACCAGUGUGCUGAGAGGACCAGUGUGCUGAGAGGACCAGUGUGCUGAGAGGACCAGUGUGCUGAGAGGACCAGUGUGCUGAGAGGACCAGUGUGCUGAGAGGUCCAGUGUGCUGAGAGGUCCAGUGUGCUGAGAGGACCAGUGUGCUGAGAGGACCAGUGUGCUGAGAGGACCAGUGUGCUGAGAGGACCAGUGUGCUGAGAGGACCAGUGCUGGGAGGACCAUUAUGCUGGGAGGACCAGUGUGAUGAGAGGGCCAGUGUGAUGGGAGGACCAGUGUGCUGAGAGGACCAGUGUGAUGAGAGGACCAGUGUGAUGGGAGGACCAGUGUGCUGACAGGACCAGUGCUGGGAGGACCAUUAUGCUGGGAGGACCAGUGUGCUGAGAGGACCAGUGUGCUGAGAGGACCAGUGUGCUGAGAGGACCAGUGUGCUGAGAGGACCAGUGUGCUGAGAGGAC